CCUCCGUGUUCCACCAGUCGUGGCGCUUGCCCGCCCGCUCGACACGUGGACACAGGCAACGGUGGAGUGGAGCUCGGUGAAGAAGAAGCUGGACCUCGUCGCACGCGGCAAGGUAUUUCUUCAAACGGAGGCGUCGCGUUCAAGGGCCACGCGCGCCGUCGACGCUGGCCUAGAGCUAGCUGCGCAGCUCGUACACGACUACACGUGUACCGGAGGGAGAGUUCGAGCCAGCAAUGGCGAGGCCACGGCCGGCGGCGGCCACCCUCCUCCUGGUCACCUUCCUCCUGGCCGCGGCCGCCGCCGAGACCACGGACGUCAUCAGCGGCGGCGGCGGCAUGGUGGGCGUGGACGGCACGCGGUUCGUGGUGGGCGGCGCCGCCGGAGGCAGGCCCGUCUACUUCAGCGGGUUCAACGCGUACUGGCUCAUGCUGGUGGCGUCGGAGCCGGCGCGGAGGGACAAGGUGGUGGCGGCGUUCCGCCAGGCGGCCGACCACGGGCUCAACCUCGCGCGGACCUGGGCCUUCAGCGACGGCGGGGACACGCCGCUGCAGGCGGCGCCGGGCGUCUACGACGAGGCCAUGUUCCAGGGUCUGGACUUCGUGGUCGCCGAGGCCAGGCGGCACGGCAUCUACCUCCUCCUCUGCCUCGCCAACAACUUCCACGACUUCGGCGGCAAGCGGCAGUACGUGCAGUGGGCCAGGGACGCCGGCCACCGCCUCGCCACCGACGACGACUUCUUCAACAGCACCGUCGUCAAGGGAUACUACAAGAACCACGUCAAGACGGUGCUGACGCGGGUGAACACCCUCACCGGCGUGGCGUACAAGGACGACCCCGCCAUCCUCGGCUGGGAGCUCAUGAACGAGCCCCGCUGCGACGCCGAGCCCACCGGCGCCAUGGUGCAGGCGUGGGUGGAGGAGAUGGCGCCGUACGUGAAGUCCGUGGACGGCGGGCACCUGGUGACGGCGGGGCUGGAGGGCUUCUACGGCGCGGGCGCGCACGAGAGCAAGGACCUCAACCCCUGGCGCAUCUACUACGGCACCAACUUCGUGGAGACGCACCGCGCGCGCGGGGUGGACUUCGCCACCAUCCACCUGUACCCGGACGCCUGGCUCUGGGGCUGCGCCGCCGACGCGCAGCGCGCCUUCCUCCGCAACUGGACGCGCGCCCACGCCCGCGACGCCGCGCUCUACCUGCGCAAGCCGCUGCUCGUCACCGAGUACGGCAAGUUCCUGUGGGAGGGCGUCGCCGGCGCCAACCGCACCCAGCGGGACGCCUUCCUCCGCCUCGUGCUCGACUCCAUCUACGCCUCCGCCGCGCGGGGAGGCCCGCUCGUCGGCGGCGCCUUCUGGCAGCUGCUCGACGACGGCAUGGACACGCUCAGGGACGGCUACGAGAUCAUACUCCCCGACGACCAGCUCGCCGCCACCAUCAUCGCCACCCACUCCCGCCAGCUGGCCGACCUCAGCCUCGUCACCGCCGAGGACGUCCGGGAAGAGGAGGCGGCGCCGCUUCGCCGGAGGAGGAGGAAGAGCGCGCAUGGCAAGAUACACCACGUACUCAGCGUGGGUGGUGGUACUAGUAGUGAUGAUAGUUAUUAUACGCAACGGUUGCUGCACAUAUUCUUGCUUCGUCUCAUCUCUUUGUUCGAAUCAAUCUCUUCAUUGUUUCAGUAGUGUAUAGGUUACGUGUAGAAUUUUUUUUUCUCUAUCGCCACCAGGAAAAAAAAACCUGGUUAGGUGUGUGUGCGCGUGUGCAGGUUGUUCUAGAAAGUUAGGCAUAGCCAGUGUGUGUAGAGUAUACAGUUUCUCUUUUUUUUUUGUCUUUUUUCUUUUCUUUGAGGGCAAAAAAGACAGGUGCUCUGAUCCUUUCAUUCAAAAGGAAGCAACAGAGUUUACAAGAAGAUUACAAGAGGCCAGGCCAAGAGCCGGUGGUCAAAAUGAAAGAGAACAGGGACAGGCAGAGCCAAACACUUUACACCAAAAGUUUUGCAUAAUGGUGUGUUAAGCCUUCGAAUACAUUAAGAUAGAAGUUACCGUGUCUUACAUAUCAAAGUGUAUUGUAUCUUGUUUAGAUUAGAUAACAUAGUGUAUAACUCAUAGCUUGUUUUUCCUAAACUUUUAAUUCAUGAGAUCUUUGAUCACAAAGGGUUGGAUUGUCGAAGUGUACAACUUAGGUAGGUCUUAGACCGCCUCCAACAAGCACUUGUAAAUGGUCAUGUCUUGUAUAUUAAGCGUCUCUAACAGAUUCUAUAUCCCCUCCCGUAUCUCAU
rnacentral:misc_RNA from 1 species